UCGAUGUCUAUGUCGAGCGGCAGCGGAAAGUAGCUUGCUACUUUGCCGGCGAGCGGCGGACGGGUGAGUAAUGUCUGGGAAACUGCCUGAUGGAGGGGGAUAACUACUGGAAACGGUAGCUAAUACCGCAUAACGUCGCAAGACCAAAGAGGGGGACCUUCGGGCCUCUUGCCAUCAGAUGUGCCCAGAUGGGAUUAGCUAGUAGGUGGGGUAACGGCUCACCUAGGCGACGAUCCCUAGCUGGUCUGAGAGGAUGACCAGCCACACUGGAACUGAGACACGGUCCAGACUCCUACGGGAGGCAGCAGUGGGGAAUAUUGCACAAUGGGCGCAAGCCUGAUGCAGCCAUGCCGCGUGUAUGAAGAAGGCCUUCGGGUUGUAAAGUACUUUCAGCGGGGAGGAAGGUGGGUGAU
rnacentral:rRNA from 1 species